AAAAGUGAAUUUCGACCACGUGUGGUCGAAAUUAAUUUUUGUAAAAAUAAUAAAUGGGAAAAAAAUAUUUUAUACAUAAUUAAAUUUUAUAAAUAUAAAAUAAUUAAUUAAAAAAUAAAAAUAAAAAACUAAUUUCGACUACAUGUGAUCGAAAAUUUGAACAGAUUUUUUUUAGUCCCGAUUGGGUCUGUUUUCGUUUUAUUUUUGCUCCUUCUCUUUCUCUCUCUUUCCUCUCUCCCUCUCCUCUCUCUACGCCUCCCACCACCCGACUGCCUACGACCCCACCUCCUUAGACGCCUCCCCCACCCGACUGCCCCACCACCCAUCGACGCUUAACUCGCAGCCACCUCCUUUCCCGACCAUCAGCGUCUCCACCGCCGUAUUCGUGGCUGUUAAGGACAAAAUUUGAUUAUUGUUACAUUCGGUGGGUGGCGGCCAAUGCAUCUAUUGGUCCUUUAUAAAUUGGUUUGUUUCCUUUUGAUAUGUUAGCAUAUCGCUUAAUUCUACCUUGCAGCAGAGUUUGGCUGCUGAGUGUCUCUAUCACAUUCGAGGAUGUACUUUGUUUUGUUGAAGUCGCCAUUCCUUUUUAUUAAGAAAGUUUUCUUGGAAGCCGGAACAUCAUGAUUUAGUAGCGCAAAACUUUUUGGAUGACAUAAAUCAUGCUCUUGUCGAUGAGUCUAGUGGGCAGGAUACGGAUCAUGUCUCUAGCACCGAACAUUGACUUUUUUGAUUAAUGUGCUUUUGGAUUCUAAUUCUGCUAUGUUUAAAUGGAUAUGUAUAUGAAUGUAGUUUUAAUUUGAACGAGAAGUACUUUUAAUUUUAAGAUGUUUAAGUGUUUGAACGUAAUCUAUGAUGUUUAAGUGUUUGAAUGGAUAAUGUUUAAAUGUUCAAACAUUGUUUAUGGUUGUUGUGUUGCAUUGUUGAUGAAUUGGAUGACUGUUUUGGUUGAUGAA